ACGAAAUAAACAAAAUACCUUGAAACAUUUGUAUUCUUGCCUAACACCGUAGUAUUAUACUGUUAUCACAAAAUAACUAUGAAUUAAAUUUUGAUUUAAAGCUUUCGUGACUGCAGGGAUUCAU